UACGUAGGGUGCGAGCGUUAAUCGGAAUUACUGGGCGUAAAGCGUGCGCAGGCGGUUUUGUAAGCCAGGUGUGAAAUCCCCGGGCUCAACCUGGGAAUGGCAUUUGGGACUGCAAGGCUGGAGUGCGGCAGAGGAGACUGGAAUUCCUGGUGUAGCAGUGAAAUGCGUAGAUAUCAGGAGGAAUACCGAUGGCGAAGGCAGGUCUCUGGGCUGACACUGACGCUCAUGCACGAAAGCGUGGGGAGCAGACAGG
rnacentral:rRNA from 1 species